rnacentral:rRNA from 1 species
GAUGAACGCUGGCGGCGUGCUUAACACAUGCAAGUCGAACGAGAAAUGUAGACGGAAACCUUCGGGCGGAAGCCUUCAUUUCGAGUGGCGGACGGGUGAGUAACGCGUGGGUAACCUGCCUCAUACAGGGGGAUAACAGUUGGAAACGACUGUUAAUACCGCAUAAGACCACCGCAUCGCAUGAUGCGGGGGUAAAAACUCCGGUGGUAUGAGAUGGACCCGCGUUCGAUUAGCCAGUUGGCGGGGUAACGGCCCACCAAAGCGACGAUCGAUAGCCGAUCUGAGAGGAUGACCGGCCACAUUGGGACUGAGACACGGCCCAAACUCCUACGGGAGGCAGCAGUGGGGAAUAUUGCACAAUGGGGGAAACCCUGAUGCAGCGACGCCGCGUGAGUGAAGAAGUACUUCGGUAUGUAAAGCUCUAUCAGCAGGGAAGAAAAUGACGGUACCUGAGUAAGAAGCCCCGGCUAACUACGUG